rnacentral:rRNA from 1 species
AGUGAACGCUGGCGGUAGGCCUAACACAUGCAAGUCGAACGGAAGCACAGUAAGAGCUUGCUCUUACGGGUGGCGAGUGGCGGACGGGUGAGGAAUACAUCGGAUUCUACUAUUUCGGGGGGGAUAACGUAGGGAAACUUACGCUAAUACCGCAUACGAUGUACGGCUGGAAUCAAGGGAUCUUCGGACCUUGCGCGAUUCAAUGAGCUGGUGCCGGAUUAGCUAGUUGGCUGGGUAAAGGCCCACCAAGGCGACGAUCCGUAGCUGGUCUGAGAGGAUGAUCAGCCACACUGGAACUGAGACACGGUCCAGACUCCUACGGGAGGCAGCAGUGGGGAAUAUUGGACAAUGGGCGCAAGCCUGAUCCAGCCAUACCGCGUGGGUGAAGAAGGCCUUCGGGUUGUAAAGCCCUUUUGUUGGGAAAGAAAAGCAGCAGGUGAAUACCCCGCUGUUCUGACGGUACCCAAAGAAUAAGCACCGGCUAACUUCGUG